rnacentral:rRNA from 1 species
GACGAACGCUGGCGGCGUGCUUAACACAUGCAAGUCGAACGGAAAGGCCCUGCUUGCCGUGUACUCGAGUGGCGAACGGGUGAGUAACACGUGGGUGAUCUGCCCUGCACUUCGGGAUAAGCCUGGGAAACUGGGUCUAAUACCGGAUAGGAGCCAUUUUUAGUGUGAUGGUUGGAAAGUUUUUUCGGUGUAGGAUGAGCUCGCGGCCUAUCAGCUUGUUGGUGGGGUAAUGGCCUACCAAGGCGGCGACGGGUAGCCGGCCUGAGAGGGUGGACGGCCACAUUGGGACUGAGAGACGGCCCAGACUCCGACGGGAGGCAGAAGUGGGGAAGAUUGCACAAGGGGCGCAAGCCUGAUGCAGCGACGCCGCGGGGGGGAUGACGGCCUUCGGGUUGUAAACUCCGUUCGCUAGGGACGAAGCUUUUUGUGACGGUACCUAGAUAAGAAGCACCGGCUAACUACGUG